rnacentral:rRNA from 1 species
AGUGAACGCUGGCGGUAGGCCUAACACAUGCCAGUCGAACGGCAGCACAGUAAGAGCUUGCUCUUACGGGUGGCGAGUGGCGGACGGGUGAGGAAUACAUCGGAAUCUACUUUUUCGUGGGGGAUAACGUAGGGAAACUUACGCUAAUACCGCAUACGACCUACGGGUGAAAGCAGGGGAUCUUCGGACCUUGCGCGAUUGAAUGAGCCGAUGUCGGAUUAGCUAGUUGGCGGGGUAAAGGCCCACCAAGGCGACGAUCCGUAGCUGGUCUGAGAGGAUGAUCAGCCACACUGGAACUGAGACACGGUACAGACACCUACGGGAGGCAGCAGUGGGGAAUAUUGGACAAUGGGCGCAAGCCUGAUCCAGCCAUACCGCGUGGGUGAAGAAGGCCUUCGGGUUGUAAAGCCCUGUUGUUGGGAAAGAAAAGCAGCAGGUUAAUACCCCGCUGUUCUGACGGUACCCAAAGAAUAAGCACCGGCUAACUUCGUG